UAAUAUAUCGGAACGUACCCAAGAGUGGGGAUAACGUAGCGAAAGUUACGCUAAUACCGCAUACGAUCUAAGGAUGAAAGCAGGGGACCGCAAGGCCUUGUGCUCCUGGAGCGGCCGAUAUCUGAUUAGCUAGUUGGUGGGGUAAAGGCCUACCAAGGCAUCGAUCAGUAGCUGGUCUGAGAGGACGACCAGCCACACUGGAACUGAGACACGGUCCAG
rnacentral:rRNA from 1 species